UGUGCUUUUGGAGGUGGACCACUCUCUCUUUUGUUCUCUUUGAAGAACACUCCCGGCCACACACGCACACACUCCACUUUGGACUGAAUUUUGGGGAUUAAAGGGAAGAGCUCAUUGAUCGCUCAUCCUCGGAGCAUCACGCACCCGGAAAGCAGAUUAUUGGAUAUCAAAGGAGAGAAGAAAUGGCUUCCCAAAGCACGAACCAAGGUAACGGAAGAAUUUUGCUAUUAAAUGCAUGCUUAAUUGUCAAUAUGUGAUCCUAUGCAAUUUAAAUUAUCAUCAAUUGGUAUCAGAGCUUGCAUGAUUGACAUUUGAGCUGCAAUUUUGGGUUAAUUUUUGGGUUUCCCGUUUCCUGUGGUGGAAGCCAUUUUUUUGGAUUUUUAAUUCUCGUUUGAUGUUUAUUCUCUGUUUUCAAGCCCGAUUGUUGUUGGAAACUUGUAGAGAAUAUUGUUUGGAGCAAAACCCAUCAUUUUAUUUGAUUUUUGGAGCUUGUUUGGUGGGAUUUCGAAAAUUAGGGUUUGUUUGGUUCUUGCUAUUAUGCGUUUUUUGUGCAAUUUUUGGGUUUGGAUUGAAUAAUUGAUGUUUUAGGAUGGAAAUCUAUGUAUUUUUGACGAAAAAUGCGUGAAAUUUUGGGCGGAAAAUUUUUUUUUUUCUUCUCCAGAACCAGGCCGUGCUCAGCUGGAUGAGAAGAUGAACAGUGACGUGAUGACGUCAUCAUGACGUCAUAAAAAAAAAACCAAUUUUUUUUUUUUUUUUUUGUUUGUUUGUUGCCUUGGUAUUCUUGGAUUGAUUGUGCAUAUGCUAGAAUUUUUUAUGCAUUUGUUAAAUUUGACUUUAUUGGGACAAUUAUUAUUAUUAUUGUCCUUUAUGGUAUAAUUUUUCCUUAUAUCAAUAAUGUUGUCCUAUGUCAAUUUUGUUAAAUAUUUCAAUUUAUUGAGGCAAUGAAGCACACUUGUGUAAUUGCCUAUCGCAAUUCCAAGUGUGUCAAAUUGUGAAAAUUGAAUAUUUUAUUUUAUUCAUGACAAUUGUGAACAUAUGUGUGAUUGCCUAUCGUGAUCCUAUAUGUGUCAAAUUGUCCUUGGUGAGAUAAUUUAACUCCCACAUUUAAUCGUUUUAUUAUUGUGAUUACUAAGAUCCAUACGGGUAUUGUAAUUGUCCUAUCGAUGAUAACAAUGCUUGGUAGGAUGCUUAGAUUGGUGAAGGAAAUUAAUUGUAUAUUAUGAAUUGUACUAAUUUUCUUUGCCCUUUCGGUAAUAAAAUUAGUACAUUUUGGUUGUAAUAUUUAAUUAGUUGUCCUUACCGCCGUGGAAUUUUUAAAAAUUCCAAGCUAUUGCUAAAUUGAGAAAUUAUGGAAAUUAGCAAAUGCAUGAUAUUGUAAUAACAUGCAUACUGUUGAAUUUUGCUAUUUUCCAGCUACCAGCAAUCCUGGUAUUUCUCUGCAAUUGUCUGCCAUCAAACCUCUUACUGGGAAUAAUUUUGAAGAAUGGUUUGAGUCCUUUAACGUGCAUAUGACUCUGCAAAAUCUGGACUUGGCUUUGAGGGUUGAUGAGCCAAGUAAGCUCACUGAUGUGAGCUCUGCAGAUGAAAGAUUAUUUUAUGAAAGAUGGGAGCACUCCAACAGGAGUUGUUUGAUGGUGAUGAAAUUCACUAUGGAUAAAUCUAUCAAAGAAUGCGGGCCAAAGACGGAAAGGGCCAAAGACUUCUUGGAAUAUGUGAAGGCCAAUUAUACCAAAGUUGAUAAGGCUGAAAUGGCAACUCAUUUGAAGCUUCUCACAACUACUGUAUAUGAUGGAGUUAGUGGGGUUAGGGAUCAUAUCAUCAAGCUAAGGCACUAAUUCAACAAGGCAAAUGAGAUGAAAGUGGAGUUGGGUGAAAAAUUUCUGAAAUGGUUGAUACUUGAGUCUCUUCCUGCUUCCUUUGAUGCAGUGAAGUUGACUUACAAUGCCUUGAAGGAAGAAUGGACUCUGGAGGAGUUAAUGUCCAUUGUAGUGCAACAUGAAGUCUCACUGAAGAAACAUGAGACUCACUCCCUUGCUCUUGUAACAAAUCAAGCCAGUAAUGUGAAGAAAAAACCUCCACACAAGAUUUUUGGAGGCUCUAAGCAGUUCAAGAGGAAAGGGAAUUCAAAUCAAGGAACCUCCAACGCAUCUGUUUCUUCUAAUGCUGCAAAGAGUGAGAAAUUCAAGGGGAAGUGCAACUUUUGCCAUAAGAUUGGCCACAAGCAAGUUGAUUGCUUCAAAUUUAAAAAUUGGCUAGAGAAGAAAAAGAAAGGUGAAAUUGUGGUUGUGGUUAAUUUGAAUGCAAACAUGAUUGAGACAAAUAUUGUUGAUGUUCAUGCCAAUUCUUGGUGGUUAGAUACUGGUGCCACUAUUCAUGUCACUAAUUCUUUGCAGGAGAUGACAAACAGAAGGAAGCCGUCAAAGCAUGAAGAAUGUGUGUAUAUGGGUGACGGAAGCAAAGUGAAAGUGGAAUUUUUUGGCAUGAUAAAGCUGAAGUUGAUCACAGAAAGUUUUUUGUUGUUACACAAUGUGGCUUUUAUACCCUCACUUAGGAGGAAUCUGAUUUCUGUAUCUUCUUUGGAUAGACAUGGUUAUUCUUUUCACUUUGGAGGUGGAAAAGUGGAUAUUUUUUGCAACUCAGUCUUAAUUGGCAAUGGUGUUUUGUUUGGAAAUCUAUAUAGUCUCAGUUUGCAUCAUGGUUUAUUAUGUGAUUCAUCCUCUGUUAAUUCUGUUGUUGGUUGCAAGCGUGCUAGAAUGAAUUUGAGUUCUUCCAUGUUGUGGCACAAACGCCUAGGUCAUAUUUCUAGGCAAAGAUUAGAGAGAUUGGUGAAAGAUGGUGUGCUUUCUAAUCUUGAUUUCUCAUACUUCGAAACUUGUGUUGUUUGCUUAAAGGGGAAGAUGACAGCAAAGACCAGAAAGGAGAAGAUUGAUAGGUGUGGAAGUACUUUAGACUUGAUCCACACAGAUAUAUGUGGUCCUUUGUCACCAACUGCUUUAGGGGGUUAUAAAUAUUUCAUCACUUUUAUUGAUGAUUUCUCUAGAUUUGGUUUUGUUGAACUAAUCCAUGAGAAAUCUGACUCCCUGAAUGUGUUCAAAGCCUUUAAGGCUAAGGUGGAGUUGCAGUUGGGAAAGCCCAUUAAAGCUGUGAAGUCUGAUAGAGGUGGCGAGUAUUAUGGGAGAUAUGAUGAGACUGGACGGAAUCCUGGACCAUUUGCUAAGUUUCUGUUGGAAUGUGGCAUUGAUGCGAGAUAUACAUUGCCAGGCACUCCUCAACAGAAUGGGGUUGCAGAAAGGAGGAAUCGCACAUUGUUAGAUAUGGUGAGGUGCAUGUUGUCCAAUUCCUCUUUACCAGAAUUUAUAUGGGGUGAAGCCUUAAGGACUGCGGCAUAUAUUUUGAAUCAAGUGCCCAGUAAGUCUGUGCCUAAGACACCUUAUGAGCUAUGGUCAGGAAAGAAACCCAGCCUUCACCAUUUCCAUGUUUGGGGAUGUAAGGCUGAGGUUAAGCCCUAUAACCCACAGUCAAAGAAACUUGAUCCUAAAACCAUUAGUGGUUUCUUUGUUGGCUAUUGCAUUGGAUCAAGGGGUUCCAGAUUCUAUUGUCCAUCUCAUACCACCAGGAUCAUUGAAUCAGACAGGGCUGUAUAUUUUGAGGAUGAAGUCAAUGUUGAUCCAAAUUUUGUGCCUCGUGAGAUACCUUUUGGAGAAGAGCAUGUUGUGAUUCCUUUUCCUACAUCUCAUGUUCCAAAUAUGGAUGUUCCUAUUGUCCAACAGCCAGCCACUAAUCAAGGAGAGCAUGGUGAUCAAGUGGAAUCCGACCUUCCUGUAGAUGAUACAGUUGUUAAUGAGGUUCCUUUGAGAAGAUCACAGAGGGUUCGUAGGCCGGCUAUUUCAGAUGAUUAUAUGGUUUAUUUGCAGGAGCAUGAGUAUGAUAGUUAUGAUGCUUUUGAUCCAGUCACUUACCAAGAAGCAAUUCAUUGUCCUCAAUUCAUAUCUUGGAAAGAAGCCAUGGAUGAUGAAAUGAAUUCUAUGUAUAUGAAUGGUGUUUGGGACUUGGUUGAAUUGCCUCAUGGUUGUAAACCAGUUGGGUGCAAGUGGGUCUUUAAGACCAAACGUGAUUCUAGCGGGAAAAUAGAGAGAUAUAAAGCUAGACUUGUGGUUAAAGGUUAUAGUCAAAGAGAAGGAAUUGAUUUCAAAGAAACCUUCUCACCUGUGUCGACCAAGGACUCUUUUAGAGUGAUUAUGGCCAUAGUAGCUCAUUUUGACUUGGAGCUACAUCAGAUGGAUGUCAAGACAGCUUUCUUGAAUGGUGUUUUGGAUGAGGAGGUGUAUAUGGAGCAACCUAUUGGUUUUGUAGAAGUUGGAAAGGAAGAUUUAGUUUGCAAGCUCAAUAAGUCCAUUUAUGGUCUUAAACAGGCUUCGAGGCAGUGGUAUCUGAAGUUUGAUAAGAUUAUCACCCAAAAUGGCUUUAAAGAAAAUACAGUUGAUAGAUGCAUAUAUUUGAGGGUCAGUGGGAGUAGUUACAUAUUUCUUGUUUUAUAUGUUGAUGAUAUACUACUCGCAUCAAAUGAUCCUGACUUGUUGAUUGAGACAAAGCACAUUUUGUCAACCCAUUUUGACAUGAAGGAUCUUGGUGAGGCUUCUUAUGUCUUGGGCAUAAAGAUUCUUCGUGAUAGGGCUAAUGGAGUGCUUAAAUUGUCUCAAAGAGCCUAUAUUGAAAGGAUAUUGAAGAGGUUCAAUAUGCACAACUGUAAAUCUACUAAAGCGCCAAUUGUGAAGGGUGAUAAAUUUUCAAAAGCUCAGUGUCCUCAAAAUGAUGAUGAGAGAGAGGAAAUGAAGACCAUUCCUUAUUCAUCUGUGGUGGGCAGCCUUAUGUAUGCUCAAGUAUGUACACGCCCUGAUAUUGCUUUUGUUGUGGGCAUGUUGGAAAGGUACUUGAGCAAUCCUGGGAGUCAACAUUGGAAAGCAGCUAAGAAGGUCCUUAGGUAUUUGCAAGGAACUAAGGACUUAAUGUUGACAUAUCAGCGCACCAGCUUACUUGAUGUAGUUGGGUUUUGUGAUGCUGAUUUUGCUGGCUGCAUAGAUGAUAAGAAAUCCACUACGGGCUAUAUUUUUAUGAUGGCAGGAGGAGCUGUAUCUUGGAAAAGUGUCAAGCAGACACUUACAACAUCCUCAACUAUGGAGGCAGAGUAUGUGGCAUGUUAUGAGGCUUGUUGUCAUGCUAUGUGGAUGCGGAAUUUUAUUUCAGCUUUAGGAGUUGUUGACUCCAUUUCUAGACCGCUGAAAUUAUUUUGUGAUAAUUCCGCAACUGUUGCUUUCUCCAAGAACACUAGGAGUAUUUCUCGCUCCAAACAUAUUGAUGUAAAGUUCUAUUUUGUUAAGGAGAAAGUGGCAGAGUCUCUUAUUGAUAUUGAACACAUGUCCACAAAAAGUAUGUUGGCGGAUCCAUUAACAAAAGGCUUACCCAUAAUUGCGUUUCAAGAACAUGUAUCUCAAAUGAGGUUGUUGGAAGCCUAGGUUGUAUUAAGUUAGUGGGAGCCAUUUUUUGGUAUUGUAAUACUAUGUUAUUGUUGAAAGGAUUGCUAUUAUUGUACAUUUCCCUAUGAAUCAAGCAAUGAAGCAUAUAUGAUUGCUUUUGAUUAUUUAUUUCUGAUGAGAUUCUAUGGGACAUUGAUUUAUGAUUAUGUAUAUGUUGUGAUGUUUGAUUAUGUAGUCCAAGUGGGAGAAUUGUUGGAAUUUUAUGUGUGGACUUACAUAAUUAAUUUGAUAAUAUCAUAAAUCAGUGUUAAUUUAUGUUUUUGCAUUGUGGUCCAUAAUGGGACUGGACACAAAUUGUUGCUUGAUUUUUUAUGGGCUCACCCUAAUUCACUUGACUGGCCCAUUAAGUCAAGUCGUCCAACUAAAGUGUGUAAUGUGCAAUAUAUAUAUAUAUAUAUGUAUUUAUUUGUAUAUAUAUAUAGAGGUGUGUGUGCUUUUGGAGGUGGACCACUCUCUCUUUUGUUCUCUUUGAAGAACACUCCCGGCCACACACGCACACACUCCAUUUUGGACUGAAUUUUGGGGAUUAAAGGGAAGAGCUCAUUGAUCGCUCAUCCUCGAAGCAUCACGCACCCGGAAAGCAGAUUAUUGGAUAUCAAAGGAGAGAAGAAAUGGCUUCCCAAAGCACAAACCAAGGUAACGGAAGAAUUUUGCUAUUAAAUGCAUGCUUAAUUGUCAAUAUGUGAUCCUAUGCAAUUUAAAUUAUCAUCAUUGAAG
rnacentral:lncRNA from 1 species